GACGGAGGGGGCUAGCGUUGUUCGGAAUUACUGGGCGUAAAGGGCGCGCAGGCGGCCUUUCAAGUCGGAUGUGAAAGCCCCGGGCUCAACCUGGGAAUUGCAUUUGGGACUGGAUGGCUGGAGUUCGGGAGAGGAGAGUGGAAUUCCCAGUGUAGAGGUGAAAUGCGUAGAUAUUGGGAAGAACACCGGUGGCGAAGGCGGCUCUCUGGACCGAUACUGACGCUGAGGCGCGAAAGCGUGGGGAGCAAACAGG
rnacentral:rRNA from 1 species